GACGAACGCUGGCGGCGUGCUUAACACAUGCAAGUCGAACGGACAGGCCCUGCUUUUGUGGGGUGCUCGAGUGGGGAACGGGUGAGUAACACGUGAGUAACCUGCACUUGACUUUGGGAUAAAUUCAGGAAACUGGGGCUAAUACCGGAUAGGAGAUUCUGAUGCAUGGUGGGGGAUGGAAAGUUGCGGCGGUUGGGGCUGGUAUCGCGGGUUAUGAGCUUGUUGGUGGGGUAGUGGAUUACAAAGGCUGUGACGGGUAGCCGGCCUGGGAGGGUGACCGGCCACAUGGGUACUACGAGAGGGCGCAGAAGCGAACGGUAGGCAGCAGUGGGAAAUAUUGCACAAUGAGCGGAAGCCUGAGACAGCGGCGCCGCGUGCGUGAUGACGGCCUUCGGGUUAUAAACCGCUGUCGCCUGAGACGAAGCGUGAGUGACGGUAAUGAAUAAAGAAGCACCGGCUAACUACGUG
rnacentral:rRNA from 1 species